GGAGGGAUAUCGAAGUGGUCAUAACGAGGCGGUCUUGAAAACCGUUUGCCGACAGGCACGUGGGUUCGAAUCCCACUCCCUCCG
rnacentral:tRNA from 1 species